UAAGACGAACCGUCCGAACGUUAUUCGGAAUUACUGGGCUUAAAGGGUGCGUAGGCGGCGCGGAAAGUCGGGUGUGAAAUCCCUCGGCUCAACCGAGGAAUGGCGCUCGAAACUACCGUGCUCGAGGAAGGCAGAGGUGAGCGGAACUCAGGGUGGAGCGGUGAAAUGCGUUGAUAUCCUGAGGAACACCGGUGGCGAAAGCGGCUCACUGGGCCUUUUCUGACGCUGAUGCACGAAAGCUAGGGGAGCAAACGGGAUUAGAUACCCCGGUAGUCCUAGCCGUAAACGAUGAGCACUUGGUUGGAGAUCCCUCCAUAGGUUUCCGGCCGUAGCGAAAGUGGUAAGUGCUCCGCCUGGGGAGUAUGGCCGCAAGGCUG
rnacentral:rRNA from 1 species